ACAAUAAUAGCUUAAGUAAAGCGCCGGUCUUGUAAAUCGGAUGAUAAAGGGAAACUUUUUAUUGUA
rnacentral:tRNA from 1 species